AUGUGGAUGGUUUAUUGCUUUUUUUGUAUAAAAGGUGCUAAUCAAAUAAGAUCUGAUUGAUUGAAGAUGCAUGUCUUGUACGCUGUGUCUUGCAGAAAGAUCCUGGUUUUGACAGAGGACAGUUUCAUAGACAAGUAGCCGUGAUGAGGGGACAAAUCCUGAACCUGUGCCAAGCCCUGAAGGACGGUAAAACGCCCCUCCAGUUGGUCCAGAUGCCCCCAGUAAUUGUCGAAACAGCCAGAGCACCUCAGAGAGCCAACAGUGAGUCCUACACACAGAGUUUCCAAAGCAGAAGACCCUUCUUCACCUGGUGGUAGGAACGGAGCAGCAGAAAGGAAGAGAAGGAACAGCAGGAAGCCGAAGAGGGGCAAGGAGGGAGAUGUGCCGCUGGAGGGACAGGUUUUUGUCCUGAAAAUGGAUAUUAUCAUCACCUUCCCCCCGAACGUAAGGAUAUUUUGGUUUGGUUGAGAGAGGGUGGAGAGAUGAGGCCAAAAGAGGAAGAAUCUCACAUUUCUUCCCUGUUUGCCUUGUGCCUUGUUGUGGAUGUCAGUGAAGAAUUCACGCCUAAAUGAUUCUGUAGCUUCCUUCGUGAAGAAACGUUUUCAGCAAGACUUUUUUGUUGGACUCCUGGGUGCAACUAAGGUUUGCUCACACACAUGUGCGUCAGUCAGAAGCCUCUAAUACUUACUGGAUGAGAGGUGUUGCAUUCCAUGUUUUUCUUUUCUCUAUACCCAUCUGCCUUUUUAAUAUUCACUUGCAUUGUCUUUCCCAUGCAGUUAAAACACAGGGCUGGAAGCGUCAAAGCCACUACAUAGUAUCAGAGAUUUUUAAUUUUUAACAAAUAAGAGAAAUGUUAUGGUAAAGAUUUUGGGGUGUCUUUACACAGUGAACAUAAGCCACGUGAACUGGUUUCACACUUGUUCAUUGCUCCUCCUAACCGUCUAGAUUAGGAUCUGUAAAUCACCUCGGGUGAUAAUGAAAAGCGGAGGCAAAGAAAAAAACUGUUUAAAAUCAGAUUAGUAUGACUGGAUCACCUAAUUUGUCCCUUCCAACUGAUGAUUUAAAUCAUAGGAGAAUAACACAUGAUGAUCUCGUCUACAAGCAGGCGAAGGGUGGUUGGUGCCGAUUCUCAGACCACAAGCUCCCGUUUGCCUGGGUCACAUUGAUUUGUGUUAAUUUUACUGCUCGUGAGGUGGACCGAAACAACAAAGUAACUUCCUGCUGUGCUGAACUGACAAGAAAUGUAAUGUGACAAUGCACUGUAUAAUUUGUAUGUAAUAUUUAAUGAUAGAUUAUAAUUAAAACCUACUGCAUUGA